rnacentral:lncRNA from 1 species
AAUUUUCAGAAUUAUAGUUACUGUUUUUAACAUCAAAACCUUUGGGCCAAAAUGUAAAUAAAAUAAAAUAAAAUAAGUAUUUGUGCCGUCAUCAAAACAUUAGGGACUAAAAUGAUAUUUUAUCUUGUCAAGGACUAUUCUGAAAAGUUAGCAAACAAAUUAAACUAUAAUGGAAUUCCUCUAUGCAAAUAUUUCCUGAAUAUUGGGCCAUGCUAAAUUUUUAUAAAGAAAAUGAAUCUAAACGAUAUUAUCCUCCAUCAUCUUUAACAUUCUGCGCCUUCUUCAGUCCUCACCCAGCACUACCAGCAGCACAGUAUCCAAAUAGAAAAAUUGGAAAAACACAGUAACAUACUCAUAUUCAGGCAAAGCUAACAAAACUGAAUACUACUAAUGAUUUAAGCAAAUAUGAAAUAAAUAUAAAUCAAAGAGCUAUUUCAAAAAAAAAAAAGACUCAUUUAAAAAACAGAGCAAGUUAGUCACGAAUGAAAACAUACCCAUUACCUAACUGGCUAGCUAGUGACAGAGUAAGGAGAGAAUGGCAGCGGUAGGUCUACAGCAAGGAGAAGGCAACACGGGCAAAGGCAGAUGCGAGUUAGGUUUUGGAUUGUGGGUUCGUGGCUGUGCUGUGCAAGUGAGAGAGAGAGAGAGG